GACGAACGCUGGCGGCGUGCUUAACACAUGCAAGUCGAACGGUGACGCUGGAGCUUGCUCCAGCUGAUCAGUGGUGAACGGGUGAGUAACACGUGAGCAACCUGCACUUGACUCUGGGAUAACCCCGGGAAACCGGAGCUAAUACCGGAUACGAACCGCACAGGCAGCUGAGUGGUGGGAAAGAUGUAUCGGUCAAGGAUGGGCUCGCGGCCUAUUAGCUUGUUGGUGGGGUAGCGGCCGGCCAAGGCGACGACGGGUAGCCGGCCUGAGAGGGCGACCGGCCACACUGGGACUGAGACACGGCCCAGACUCCUACGGGAGGCAGCAGUGGGGAAUAUUGCACAAUGGGCGAAAGCCUGAUGCAGCGACGCGGCGUGAGGGAUGAAGGCCUUCGGGUUGUAAACCUCUUUCAGAAGGGAAGAAGCGAAAGUGACGGUACCUGCAGAAGAAGCACCGGCUAACUACGUGCCAGCAGCCGCCGUAAUAC
rnacentral:rRNA from 1 species